GAUCUACCAACAUCUUUUUAGCUAUUCAAGCUUAAUCUAAAAAAAGUUCUGACGACAAGAUCUUGUGAUCUUCUUUCAGAUCCAAGCUUAUGUUUGAUUAUAGCAGUUUGUGUAUGUACAUAUUUUGACCUUUCAAGAAAGAACCUUUGGCGACAUCAAUAGAAAUAAUAAAGUACUAAAUGAUGACAGUGAUGGUGUUUUGGAGCAAGCAACUUUUUUAUCAAAGCAAAAGUCUAUCAGUAACCAAGCUACUUUUUUAUCAAAACUAUCAGUUACUCGCUGGACAAUUCGUGGAACUGUUUAUAAUAAAUUUUUACAAAACUGCAUGCAAUGGAAGUUUAGGAUAACUGUCUUGACGCAAGCAUCGAGGUUGACGUAAAGUUUAAAAUAAUGGAAUGCAAAGCUCAAAUGGAGUCGUUUAAAUUGUUUUAUGGGAUCAAUUUAUGAUUAACAGUUUAUUUAAUUACAAAUAACUUAUUAAAAACCAUCCAAGUUAUAUUACAGCAAUAUAAAGCCAAAAAGUAGCUCAACUAACCAUGAAUGCACUCAUGAGACAGUUAUUUUAAUAUUGAUUUUUUAAUGUUGGAAGUAGAUUAAUAAAAGACAAUAUUCUCUCUUGAGAAGAUGAAACAAAUGUUUCUGUCACAAAAUUGAAAUCAGUUUGUUUUAAAGACAUACUUGAAGUGAUCCGAUAACUUUUAAAAAGAAAAAAAAAAGUUCAGAAGUUCACUUAUUGUUAUUAGUGAGGUUCUUAUUGUCAAUGUUGAGACCUUAUGUAAAGCUAACUGACCUUUGGUACAACUGAACGAUCUUUUUCCAUUUUUUUAAUUUUGUAAAGAGGUACAAUAACAAACAAAAGACUUAGGAACCUGGCAAUUUUUAACUCUAAUAAAACA